GUUCCGUUUAUCUAAACUCUUUUAAAUAAUAUAAAAAAAAUUAUAUGCAUUCUGUUUAAUUAGAAAUCUAAAUUCAUGUUUAUUCAACGUACUACUAAUAAGUCAAUCUGUCUAAAGAAUAGUCUCCCCAUCAACCAAUAGGUUUUUUUAUCUAUCGGCCUACAAUCUAUGUCCUUUUAACCGCUGCAAUUUUUUCAAUUAAUUCUCCUUAAACUUGCAUGAAGAACACACAAAACACGUAAAACAACACCAUUUUAUACAGCUUCCAAGAUGGUAUUUUAUUGGACAAUGUGAAUAGGGUUGCAUUGGAUUCGCUCUUAUAAGUUUAUAAGGAUAUCCAAACAUACAAAACACUAUUCCAAUUCUAAUCUACCAAAGAACAUUAUUACCAAGGGUAGGGAGGAGGACUUAAACAAGUUUAAUAGUGGAACAUAUACUCACCAAAUAAAUUUGACCAUACCUUGAAGAAUAAAUUCCUCCUAUCGUUAGAAUUUUUUGAAAGGUAACUAUCUCGGUUUCAUAUAUAAAUUUCUAUAGAAUCUUUGAAAAAGACUUUCCUUCUUAAGAAAGAAAAGACUUCCUAUCUUUGGGAUCUAAUCCUACACCGCUGCUCAAGACUUUAGUGGAUCGACUCUAUUACAUAAGUUGAUUCCUAAACGAUCAAUUUGAAGCUUGGAUAGUACAUUGAUUUUUUCAAAAGCACAACAGCAAUCUCAUGUUUCAUUUUUUAAAUCUCCCUAAGUAAAACAAGUUAACAUACCUCAGGUGUCAAUUUUUGCUAAAUACGAUUUUUCUAGAAAUAAAUUUAUUUCAAACAACACUGCAUGAACGAUUAAAUAUAAGCUACACGGAAGAAUUUAAAAAAACAAAUAUCAAGGACAAAAAAUAAAAUCUAGAUGUUAGUUCCUGAACAUGAGAAAAAAAAAAGCAGAUCUUAAUAUAAUGGAACGGAUCAAAAAUCAAGAAUAUACAACUCAUCAAUCUACAAAAGACACAAUUUAUUUGAAAGAAUUCAUUAAAAAGUAAAAUAAAAACAAACUAAACAAAAAUUGGAAGAAAAAAGAAGUAAAAAACUCGACAGAGAAAUGACAGCCGUGGCUUAUAGUUCAAAAGUAUACAAACACCCUUUGAAACCGCAAUUCAUUCUCUCAAAAGAAAUCAAUUCCUGAACGUAAGGCAAAAAAAUCAAUAUUAGAUUUUUAUACAGAGAAAUAAAUAAAAAUCGAGAGCAUAUGACUCAUUAUUAGUCUACAAAAGACACAAUUUAUUCUAAUGAUAAAGAAAACAGACAAAGCAAAACCUCGAAGAAGGUAAAAGCAAAAACUCAAAGAAUACAGCAUAUAGAAUCAGCAAAUGUACCUACAAUCUUUGAUGAUUUAAGAAAGAUCCAAGAUAAGAAGGGAAAUCACCAAAGAAGAGAAGCGAGAUGAGCAACGACACCAGGG
rnacentral:lncRNA from 1 species